rnacentral:rRNA from 1 species
AAGCAUAUCAAUAAGCGGAGGAAAAGAAACUAACAAGGAUUCCCCUAGUAACUGCGAGUGAAGCGGGAAGAGCUCAAAUUUAAAAUCUGGCGUGCCUCUGGUCGUCCGAGUUGUAGUCUGGAGAAGCGUUUUCCGUGUUGGACCGUGUACAAGUCUCUUGGAACAGGGCGUCAUAGAGGGUGAGAAUCCCGUCUUUGACACGGACUACCAAUGCUUUGUGAUGCGCUCUCAAAGAGUCGAGUUGUUUGGGAAUGCAGCUCAAAAUGGGUGGUAAAUUCCAUCUAAAGCUAAAUAUAGGCGAGAGACCGAUAGCGAACAAGUACCGUGAGGGAAAGAUGAAAAGCACUUUGGAAAGAGAGUUAAACAGUACGUGAAAUUGCUGAAAGGGAAACGCUUGAAGUCAGUCACGUCUGCCAGGACUCAGCCUCGCUUCUGCUUGGUGCACUUUCUGGUUUGAUGGGCCAACAUCAAUUUUGACCGCUGGAGAAAGGCUUUGGGAAUGUGGCACCUUCGGGUGUGUUAUAGCCCUUUGUCGUAUGCAACGGUUGGGAUUGAGGACUGCAGCACGCCUUCAUGGCCGGGGUUCGCCCACGUACGUGCUUAGGAUGUUGGCAUAAUGGCUUUAAGCGACCCGUCUU